UUUAUUUUGGCAGAUUAGAUGCAUCAAAUUUAGAAUUUGGCCAUGGGAAGAUCCCAAAUAAAA
rnacentral:tRNA from 1 species